rnacentral:lncRNA from 1 species
UGGGGAUUAGGUUGUAUACUGUCUGUAGGGGUGAUGGGGAUUAGGUUGUAUACUAUACUGUCUGUAGGGGUGAUGGGGAUUAGGUUGUAUACUGUCUGUAGGGGGAUGGGGAUUAGGUUGUAUACUAUACUGUCUGUAGGGGUGAUGGGGAUUAGGUUGUAUACUAUACUGUCUGUAGGGGUGAUAGGGAUUAGGUUGUAUACUAUACUGUCUGUAGGGGUGAUGGGGAUUAGGUUGUAUACUAUACUGUCUGUAGGGGUGAUAGGGAUUAGGUUGUAUACUAUACUGUCUGUAGGGGUGAUGGGGAUUAGGUUGUAUACUAUACUGUCUGUAGGGGUGAUGGGGAUUAGGUUGUAUACUAUACUGUCUGUAGGGGUGAUAGGGAUUAGGUUGUAUACUAUGCUGUCUGUAGGGGUGAUGGGGAUUAGGUUGUAUACUAUGCUGUCUGUAGGGGUGAUGGGGAUUAGGUUGUAUACUAUACUGUUUGUAGGGGUGAUGGGGAUUAGGUUGUAUACUGUCUGUAGGGGUGAUAGGGAUUAGGUUGUAUACUACACUGUCUGUAGGGGUGAUGGGGAUUAGAUUGUAUACUAUACUGUCUGUAGGGGUGAUGGGGAUUAGGUUGUAUUCUAUACUGUCUGUAGGGGUGAUGGGGAUUAGGUUGUAUUCUAUACUGUCUGUAGGGGUGAUGGGGAUUAGGUUGUAUACUAGACUGUCUGUAGGGGUGAUAGGGAUUAGGUUGUAUUCUAUACUGUCUGUAGGGGUGAUGGGGAUUAGGUUGUAUACUAUACUGUCUGUAGGGGUGAUAGGGAUUAGGUUGUAUACUAUGCUGUCUGUAGGGGUGAUGGGGAUUAGGUUGUAUACUAUACUGUCUGUAGGGGGAUGGGGAUUAGGUUGUAUACUAUACUGUCUGUAGGGGUGAUAGGGAUUAGGUUGUAUACUAUACUGUCUGUAGGGGUGAUGGGGAUUAGGUUGUAUACUAUACUGUCUGUAGGGGUGAUGGGGAUUAGGUUGUAUACUAUACUGUCUGUAGGGGUGAUAGGGAUUAGGUUGUAUACUGUCUGUAGGGGUGAUAGGGAUUACAUGUGGAUCAUAGUAUUGGAAGAGUUUUUCUUCCACCAGGAGACUUCUAGUUAAAUCCUGUACUUCUAAUGUUAUAUUAUUGCAUCUUUCAGGGAAAUCGUAAAAUGAUGUUUCAUGACCGUGUAUGACCUUAGAGUCAAAUCCCGAUCCGUCCCGUACAGUUUACAGCUAUGGGACUACCCUGUUGUGCAUGACAACCACAAGCUCACUGAGUGGCGGUAGUUUAUGGAGUUAUAGAGGUGAGACACAUAGGCCCUGUAGACGCUUCAGUUUAAUUCUGUUAUUAUGUCAUUAUAAUGUGACUGCCACCUUGACCCUGUCCACCCUCACCUUCAGAAGAUCACCCCUUAUCUAAUUUACCUCC